rnacentral:rRNA from 1 species
CACCGCGGUUAUACGAGAGGCUCAAGUUGAUGAACCCCGGCGUAAAGAGUGGUUAAGAGAGAUCAAAACUAAAGCCGAAUGCUUUCAAAGCUGUUAUACGCUUCCGAAAGUAAGAAGCCCAAUCACGAAAGUGGCUUUACUUUACCUGACCCCACGAAAGCUACGACA